CUGUAAAGAGCUGUUACUUCAAGGUCUGGCCAUAAAACAUCCCGAGUGAUCAUCUACACGAAUUCUCUCCUUCCUUUCUACAGGGCAAAGGACUCUGGAGUGCAAGGAGCCCACAUCUCUGACUUAUUGCUCAAAGGAGAGCUAUUGGACCAGGAAUAUCUGUAUUUAACCUUUCACAGUGAGAAAUAAAACUUUGUUGUUCAAAGCCACGGUGAUUUUGGGAUGUUUGCUACAACGACUAGUGUUACCCGUCCUUGGACAAUCUUCAAGACAGGGACACGUGCCUCAUCAUCGUUGUAUUUCUAGAGCAGAGCACAAUGCCAAGAGCCCUUUACAAUGUGACAUUGCAGCUUCUCCCAUGGCACUGUGAAGGCAUCCACCCCUUGACUCCAUGCUGGCCUUGUGAUUGGCUCUAACAAAAUGCAGCACAGGAUUAAUUCCAGAUUACCCACUUUGGGCAGGAACACUGCCGGGAUGAUGUUGCGUUCCCCUCGGGGCAUCUCAUCACAGGGUCCACCAUGCCGAUUUGCCCAAUAGUUGGAGAAUCUCUUUCAGGAUGCAGAGAUCUUGGGUCAUUUUCGUGAGGUUAAAUGAGAAGAGUUUUUGAUGGAGAAUAUGUUCGUUUGUUAUAUUUUUUGUAUGUGGAAAGAGAAAACAUGAGUUCAUCUAAUGUCCUGGGAACCUACUCCACUUUAUUCUAAGUUGUAUGUCAACCUUGUCCAACCCCCUCAGGGCAAUGGGCUGUAACUAUAUUAGGGUGUGACUUUCCUCUAUAAAUCAGUUAUUUUUUUGUUUACUCUAAUCAAAAGUCAUUAUCAAUUCAUUCUUAAUAGUUUAGCCUCAAACAUUUUUUCUUUGGUAGCAAGCCAGACUUGGUGUAAGACAAAGGAGCAAUAAAUUUGUUAUUAAUCACGAUUGACUUCAGUGAUUU